AGUGAACGCUGGCGGUAGGCCUAACACAUGCAAGUCGAACGGCAGCACAGUAAGAGCUUGCUCUUACGGGUGGCGAGUGGCGGACGGGUGAGGAAUACAUCGGAAUCUACUUUUUCGUGGGGGAUAACGUAGGGAAACUUACGCUAAUACCGCAUACGACCUACGGGUGAAAGCAGGGGCUCUUCGGACCUUGCGCGAUUGAAUGAGCCGAUGUCGGAUUAGCUAGUUGGCGGGGUAAAGGCCCACCAAGGCGACGAUCCGUAGCUGGUCUGAGAGGAUGAUCAGCCACACUGGAACUGAGACACGGUCCAGACUCCUACGGGAGGCAGCAGUGGGGAAUAUUGGACAAUGGGCGCAAGCCUGAUCCAGCCAUACCGCGUGGGUGAAGAAGGCCUUCGGGUUGUAAAGCCCUUUUGUUGGGAAAGAAAAGCAGCAGGUUAAUACCCCGCUGUUCGGACGGUACCCAAAGAAUAAGCACCGGCUAACUUCGU
rnacentral:rRNA from 1 species